rnacentral:rRNA from 1 species
GACGAACGCAGGGGGCGUGCCUAAUACAUCAAGUAGACGCACAGGGUGCACCGUAGUUUACUACACCGUAUUCUUGAGUUGCGAACGGGUGAGUAACGCGUAGGUAACCAGCCUGGUAGCGGGGGAUAACUAUUGGAAACGAUAGCUAAUACCGCAUAAGAACAUUUACUGCAUGGUAGAUGUUUAAAAGGUGCAAAUGCAUCACUACCAGAUGGACCUGCGUUGUAAAGCUAGUUGGUGAGGUAACGGCUCACCAAGGCAACGAUACAUAGCCGACCUGAGAGGGUGAUCGGCCACACUGGGACUGAGACACGGCCCAGACUCCUACGGGAGGCAGCAGUAGGGAAUCUUCGGCAAUGGGGGGAACCCUGACCGAGCAACGCCGCGUGAGUGAAGAAGGUUUUCGGAUCGUAAAGCUCUGUUGUUAAGGAAGAACGUGUGUGAGAGUGGAAAGUUCACACAGUGACGGUACUUAACCAGAAAGGGACGGCUAACUACGUGCCAGCAGCCGCGGUAAUACGUAGGUCCCGAGCGUUGUCCGGAUUUAUUGGGCGUAAAGCGAGCGCAGGCGGUUAGAUAAGUCUGAAGUGAAAGGCAGUGGCUCAACCAUUGUAGGCUUUGGAAACUGUUUAACUUGAGUGCAGAAGGGGAGAGUGGAAUUCCAUGUGUAGCGGUGAAAUGCGUAGAUAUAUGGAGGAACACCGGUGGCGAAAGCGGCUCUCUGGUCUGUAACUGACGCUGAGGCUCGAAAGCGUGGGGAGCGAACAGG